AUUGAACGCUGGCGGCAGGCCUAACACAUGCAAGUCGAACGGAAACAGGAAGAAGCUUGCUUCUUUGCUGACGAGUGGCGGGCGGGAGAGUAAUGUCUGGGAAACUGCCUGAUGGAGGGGGAUAACUACUGGAAACGGUAGCUAAUACCGCAUAAUGUCGCAAGACCAAAGAGGGGGACCUUCGGGCCUCUUGCCAUCGGCUGUGCCCAGGUGGGAUUAGCUAGUAGGUAGGGUAACGGCUCACCUAGGCGACGAUCCGUAGCUGGUCUGAGAGGAUGAUCAGCCACACUGGAACUGAGACACGGUCCAGACUCCUACGGGAGGCAGCAGUGGGGAAUAUUGCACAAUGGGCGCAAGCCUGAUGCAGCUAUGCCGCGUGUGUGAAGAAGGUCUUCGGAUUGUAAAGUACUUUCAGCGGGGAGGAAGGGAGGAAAGUUAAUACCUUUGCGCAUUGACGUUACCCGCAGAAGAAGCACCGGCUAACUCCGUG
rnacentral:rRNA from 1 species